GUCCCGGGCUACCCGGGUUCAUCUCAGUUUACCCGGGUUAACAAGGCAUGCCCUGUUUACCCAGGUUAAUAAGAGGUGUUUACCCGGGUUAACAAGACAUGCCCUGUUUACCCGGGUUAAUAAGAGGUGUUUACCCGGGUUAACAAGACAUGCCCUGUUUACCCGGGUUAAUAAGAGGUGUUUACCCGGGUUAACAAGACAUGCCCUGUUUACCCGGGUUAACAAGACAUGCCCUGUUUACCCGGGUUAAUAAGAGGUGUUUACCCGGGUUAAUAAGAGGUGUUUACCCGGGUUAACAAGGCAUGCCCUGUUUACCCGGGUUAACAAGACAUGCCCUGUUUACCCGGGUUAAUAAGAGGUGUUUACCCGGGUUAACAAGACAUGCCCUGUUUACCCAGGUUCAUCACAGGUGUUUACCCGGGUUAACAAGACAUGCCCUGUUUACCCGGGUUAAUAAGAGGUGUUUACCCGGGUUAACAAGACAUGCCCUGUUUACCCGGGUUAAUAAGAGGUGUUUACCCGGGUUAACAAGACAUGCCCUGUUUACCCAGGUUCAUCACAGGUGUUUACCCAGGUUAACAAGGCAUGCCCUGUUUACCCAGGUUAAUAAUAAGAGGUGUUUACCCGGGUUAACAAGGCAUGCCCUGUUUACCCGGGUUAACAAGACAUGCCCUGUUUACCCGGGUUAAUAAGAGGUGUUUACCCGGGUUAACAAGACAUGCCCUGUUUACCCAGGUUCAUCACAGGUGUUUACCCAGGUUAACAAGGCAUGCCCUGUUUACCCAGGUUAAUAAGAGGUGUUUACCCGGGUUAACAAGACAUGCCCUGUUUACCCGGGUUAAUAAGAGGUGUUUACCCGGGUUAACAAGACAUGCCCUGUUUACCCGGGUUAAUAAGAGGUGUUUACCCGGGUUAACAAGACAUGCCCUGUUUACCCGGGUUAACAAGACAUGCCCUGUUUACCCGGGUUAAUAAGAGGUGUUUACCCGGGUUAAUAAGAGGUGUUUACCCGGGUUAACAAGGCAUGCCCUGUUUACCCGGGUUAACAAGACAUGCCCUGUUUACCCGGGUUAAUAAGAGGUGUUUACCCGGGUUAACAAGACAUGCCCUGUUUACCCAGGUUCAUCACAGGUGUUUACCCGGGUUAACAAGACAUGCCCUGUUUACCCGGGUUAAUAAGAGGUGUUUACCCGGGUUAACAAGACAUGCCCUGUUUACCCGGGUUAAUAAGAGGUGUUUACCCGGGUUAACAAGACAUGCCCUGUUUACCCAGGUUCAUCACAGGUGUUUACCCAGGUUAACAAGGCAUGCCCUGUUUACCCAGGUUAAUAAUAAGAGGUGUUUACCCGGGUUAACAAGGCAUGCCCUGUUUACCCGGGUUAACAAGACAUGCCCUGUUUACCCGGGUUAAUAAGAGGUGUUUACCCGGGUUAACAAGACAUGCCCUGUUUACCCAGGUUCAUCACAGGUGUUUACCCAGGUUAACAAGGCAUGCCCUGUUUACCCAGGUUAAUAAUAAGAGGUGUUUACCCGGGUUAACAAGGCAUGCCCUGUUUACCCGGGUUAACAAGACAUGCCCUGUUUACCCGGGUUAAUAAGAGGUGUUUACCCGGGUUAACAAGACAUGCCCUGUUUACCCAGGUUCAUCACAGGUGUUUACCCAGGUUAACAAGGCAUGCCCUGUUUACCCAGGUUAAUAAUAAGAGGUGUUUACCCGGGUUAACAAGGCAUGCCCUGUUUACCCGGGUUAACAAGACAUGCCCUGUUUACCCGGGUUAAUAAGAGGUGUUUACCCAGGUUAACAAGGCAUGCCCUGUUUACCCAGGUUAAUAAGAGGUGUUUACCCGGGUUAACAAGACAUGCCCUGUUUACCCGGGUUAAUAAGAGGUGUUUACCCAGAUUAACAAGGCAUGCCCUGUUUACCCAGGUUAAUAAGAGGUGUUUACCCAGGUUAACAAGGCAUGCCCUGUUUACCCAGGUUAAUAAGAGGUGUUUACCCGGGUUAACAAGACAUGCCCUGUUUACCCGGGUUAAUAAGAGGUGUUUACCCGGGUUAACAAGACAUGCCCUGUUUACCCGGGUUAAUAAUAAGAGGUGUUUACCCGGGUUAACAAGGCAUGCCCUGUUUACCCAGGUUAAUAAUAAGAGGUGUUUACCCGGGUUAACAAGACAUGCCCUGUUUACCCGGGUUAAUAAGAGGUGUUUACCCAGGUUAACAAGGCAUGCCCUGUUUACCCAGGUUAAUAAGAGGUGUUUACCCAGGUUAACAAGGCAUGCCCUGUUUACCCAGGUUAAUAAGAGGUGUUUACCCGGGUUAACAAGACAUGCCCUGUUUACCCGGGUUAAUAAGAGGUGUUUACCCAGGUUAACAAGGCAUGCCCUGUUUACCCGGGUUAAUAAGAGGUGUUUACCCGGGUUAACAAGACAUGCCCUGUUUACCCGGGUUAAUAAGAGGUGUUUACCCAGGUUAACAAGGCAUGCCCUGUUUACCCAGGUUAAUAAGAGGUGUUUACCCAGGUUAACAAGGCAUGCCCUGUUUACCCAGGUUAAUAAGAGGUGUUUACCCGGGUUAACAAGACAUGCCCUGUUUACCCGGGUUAAUAAGAGGUGUUUACCCGGGUUAACAAGACAUGCCCUGUUUACCCGGGUUAAUAAGAGGUGUUUACCCGGGUUAACAAGGCAUGCCCUGUUUACCCGGGUUAAUAAGAGGUGUUUACCCGGGUUAAGAGGCGUAACUGUUCACCCGAGUUAACAAGAGGUCCCAUGUUUACCCAGGUUCUAAAAGAUCUUUUUACCUGGGUUAACAAGUGGUCCCGUCUUAAUCACAGGUGUUUACCCGGGUUAAUAAGAUGUGUUUACCCCGGUUAACAAGCCCGAGUGAUUUAAGAGGUGCCAUGUUUACCCAGAUUCUUAAAGAUCUGUUUCGGGUUAAUGAGAUCUCGCGAGAUUAAACCAUGACGAUAUUUCGGAGAUUCUAGAUUCAGAAUUCCUCUUCCCAUGUAAACAUGACGGACCAUGAAUAUUUCAACACGGCAUCAGUGGAGCACUGAUCGGUCAGACAGGAGAGGUUGAAUGUCACCUGGGUCCUGGGCGGCGCUCACGCUCAGAUCUGCACCUGUUUCUACACUACGGUGGUCAGUGAGGGCCAGUGGAGCUGCAGUAACCCAGAAACACCACCAGGGGGCACUAACGCUCCUUGAAUGGAGUGCAGUGACCCACCCUGAAGUGUCCACCUGUGGACACCAGUGAGAAUCUGUCAUUCCUACAUCGAUCAGUCCCAGCAGCAGCAGCGCUCAAAUAAAGCUUCAUCGCCAACUCGUACGUGACAAACAUGAAUGAAACACAUCAGAGGACUGAUUAUCUAGACAGGAAGUCCAUCCCUGGGUGGCUCCUGAGGACAGUUGGGUUGAAGUGGUGUCCAAGCAGAGACAGAGACAUGAACCAGACUGUCCUCAGGCUGGGUUUCAGUCACACACCCAGAGCUGGAUCCUCUGCUCUUCCUGGAAUCCUCACAGGUUCUGUGGGGAGUGUCUGCAGCCGUGUCUCCAGGUGGCGUCCCCCCUCUGCCCCCUCUGCCGAGUGCCCUUCGACCCCAAGAAGGUGGAGCGCUCCUCCGGCGUGGAGAAGCAGCUGUCCUCCUUCAAAGCCCCCUGCAGGGGCUGCAGCAAGAAGGUCACCCUGGGAAAGAUGCGGUCCCACAUUGCUUCCUGCUCCAAAGUGCAGGAGCAGAUGUCCAGCUGUCCCAAGUUUGUCCCAGUGGUCCCGACUUCUCAGCCCAUACCAAGCAAUAUUCCAAACCGCUCCACGUUCGCGUGUCCCUUCUGCGGCGCCCGGAACCUGGACCAGCAGGAGCUGCUCAAGCACUGCAUGGACAACCACCGGGACGACCCGCACCGCGUGGUGAGCAGUCCAGACCCGGUCCGCUCCAGACCCGCACCACACCGCUCCAGACCCGGUCCGCUCCAGACCCACACCACACCGGUCCAGACCCGGUCCGCUCCAGACCCGCACCACACCGGUCCAGACCCGGUCCGCUCCAGACCCGCACCACACCGGUCCAGACCCGGUCCGCUCCAGACCCGCACCACACCGGUCCAGACCCGGUCCGCUCCAGACCCGCACCACACCGGUCCAGACCCGGUCCGCUCCAGACCCACACCACACCGGUCCAGACCCGGUCCGCUCCAGACCCGCACCACACCGGUCCAGACCCGGUCCGCUCCAGACCCGCACCACACCGGUCCAGACCCGGUCCGCUCCAGACCCGCACCACACCGGUCCAGACCCGGUCCGCUCCAGAACCACACCGGUCCAGACCCGGUCCGCUCCAGACCCGCACCACACCGGUCCAGACCCGGUCCGCUCCAGACCCACACCACACCGGUCCAGACCCGGUCCGCUCCAGACCCGCACCACACCGGUCCAGACCCGGUCCGCUCCAGACCCACACCACACCGGUCCAGACCCGGUCCGCUCCAGACCCGCACCACACCGGUCCAGACCCGGUCCGCUCCAGACCCGCACCACACCGGUCCAGACCCGGUCCGCUCCAGACCCGCACCACACCGGUCCAGACCCGGUCCGCUCCAGAACCACACCGGUCCAGACCCGGUCCGCUCCAGACCCGCACCACACCGGUCCAGACCCGGUCCGCUCCAGAACCACACCACGCUGCUCCAGAACCACACCGGUCCAGAACCACUCCGCUCCAGACCCCCUCCACUCCAGACCCGCACCACACCGGUCCAGACCCGGUCCGCUCCACACAGGAAGUGCUCCCUCCUGGCCCCGUUCACAUGUGACAGAGAGAAGUUCACUUCUGUGAGGAGAAACUCCAGCAGGAAGAGGGCGGAGCCAACCACAGCCUCAGGUCUGCGUCAGGGUUCAGGUCUUGACAGGGUCCAGGUCUGCUUCAGGGUUCAGGUCUUCACAGGAUCCAGGUCUGCCUCAGAGUCCAGGUCUGUUUCAGGGUCCAGGUCUGCCUCAGAGUCCAGGUCUUGACAGGGUCCAGGUCUGCCUCAGAGUCCAGGUCUUGACAGGGUCCAGGUCUGCCUCAGAGUCCAGGUCUUGACAGGGUCCAGGUCUGCAUUGAUCCAGAUGAGCAUGAAGUGGGUGACACGGUGCCGUUGUGACAGAGGGACCGUGUGGAGGGGGGAGGAGGGUCCCAGCAGGACCUCCAUCCUUCUGCUCACUUCCUGGGUUCAUCUCAGUACAACCAGACGUUUGGGACCUGGUCUGGAAGGCUGGACCGGGAGCUGACAGCUGGUCUCACACUGUAUGUUCAACACUCAGAACACGGCGCAAAUCUGGUCUGCAGGGUCCAGGUCUGGUCUUUAGAGCUCCUGAUCUGGUCUGCAGGGUCCAGGUCUGGUCUUUAGAGCUCCUGAUCUGGUCUGCAGGGUCCAGGUCUGGUCCGUAGAGCUCCUGAUCUGGUCUGCAGGGUCCAGGUCUGGUCUGUAGAGCUCCUGAUCUGGUCUGCAGGGUCCAGGUCUGGUCUUUAGAGCUCCUGAUCUGGUCUGCAGGGUCCAGGUCUGGUCCGUAGAGCUCCUGAUCUGGUCUGCAGGGUCCAGGUCUGGUCUUUAGAGCUCCUGAUCUGGUCUGCAGGGUCCAGGUCUGGUCCGUAGAGCUCCUGAUCUGGUCUGCAGGGUCCAGGUCUGGUCCGUAGAGCUCCUGAUCUGGUCUGCAGGGUCCAGGUCUGGUCCGUAGAGCUCCUGAUCUGGUCUGCAGGGUCCAGGUCUGGUUUCACUGCAUUCCCCACAUCAAGUCAAGGUGAAACAGAUGAACUGCAACAUUUUUGACCUAAAGUUCUUCCAGUCUUUCUCUUGGUCUUUAAAGGAGGGUCCUGCUGAUUCCCUGAGCCUGUGUGUGUGUGUGUGUGUGUGUGUGUGUGUGUGUGUGUGUGUGUGUGUGUGUGUGUGUGUGUGUGUGUGUGUGUGUGUGUGUGUGUGUGUGUGUGUGUGUGUGUGUGCGCAGGUGUGUCCGGUGUGUUCGGCCAUGCCCUGGGGAGACCCCAGCUACAAGAGCUCCAACUUCCUGCAGCAUCUCCUCCACAGACACAAGUUCUCUUACGACACCUUCGUUGACUACAGCAUCGACGAAGAAGCAGCUCUGCAGGCAGCUCU